CCACAGAAGGUGAUAGCCCUGUAAGUGAAAAUUAAUUUACACUUCUUGUUAUCUUUCCUAAGUACCGUCGGAUCAAGAAAAGUCGGCGGGAAUCCAGCAGGACUACCUGCUAAGGCUAAAUACAAUCUAGUCACCGAUAGUGAACCAGUACCGUGAGGGAAAGGUGAAAAGCAGUCCGAUAAGGACGGUGAAAUAGAACCUGAAACCAUUAUGCCUACAAGGAGUCAGAGCUAUUUUUUAAAUAGUGAUGGCGUGCGUUUUGCAGAACGAGCCAACGAGUUUUUCUUGUCAAUUGUCUAAGUGCUUAUGGCACGUAAGCUUAGGGAAACCAAGUCUUAACAGGGCGAUUAAAAAUUGGCAGGAAAAGACCCGAAGCCAGACGAGCUUACCAUGACCAGGAUGAAACUUGCAGAAAUGCAAGCGGAGGUCCGAACCCGUAGGUCGUGCAAUUCCUUGGGAUGAGUUGUGGUAAGGAGUGAAAAGCUAAUCGAGUUUGGUAAUAGCUGGUUCUUCCCGAAAUAGUUUUAGGGCUAGCCUCGCUUAUUUUGCUUUGGGGGUAGAGCACUGAAAGAGGUAUCAUUGGGCUUCGGCUCGGAUUCUUCUAUCAAACUCCGAAUACCAAAGUAUUUAGAGCGGGAGUCAGACUGUGGGAGCUAAGUUCCAUAGUCGCGAGGGAAACAGCCCAGACCAUCAUCUAAGGUCCCUAAAUCUAAACUAAGUGCAAAGAAGGAGGUGAGAUUUCUCAGAUAGUUAGGAGGUUAGCUUAGAAGCAGCUACCCUUUAAAAAGUGCGUAAUAGCUUACUAAUUAAGAGAUUUUGCGCCGAAGAUUAACGGGGCUCAAGUUUAGUACCGAAGAUAUGGGGUUAUUACUUUUUGUAAUAAUCGGUAGGGAAGCGUUCCUAUUGCACUGAAGCUAAAUCGUGAGGUUUAGUGGAGCGAUAGGAAGUGAGAAUGUUGGCAUAAGUAACCGCAAUUAUGGUGAGAUUCCAUAACGCCGUAAAUCUAAGGUUUCCUUAGCAAUGAUAAUCAGCUAAGGGUUAGGCGGGCCUUAGGAGAAGCCGAAAGGUUUAUCUGAUGGACAGCAGGCUUAAUAUUCCUGCCCUUCAGUAUUCUUCUUUAUAAGUGACGCAACUUUGUAGUCAAAAUAGAUUAUUGGAUUUUUAUUUUGAUGAGUGAGUUGCCAGGAAAAGCUUUUUAAAGGUUAAGAAUAUUGAAACCGUACCGCAAACCAACACAGGUAGAUGAGUAUAAAUGUACUAAGGCGAACAAGUGAAAGCUCCUGAAGGAAUUCGGCAAAAAAGUGGUCGUAACUUCGGAAUAAGACCUUCCUUUGCAUUUAUGUAAAGGACGCAGCUAACGUAUCUCAAGCGACUGUUUAUCAAAAACACAGGUCCCUGCUUAACUCGUAAGAGGAUGUAUAGGGGCUGAGGCCUGACCAGUGCCGGAGUGUUAAGAGUGGCGGUUGUCUCACUUUCACUUUAUAAUAAGAAGGGUUACUUCCUAGGAAUAAAUUAAAUUAAAGUAAAUAUUAACAAAAUUAAAGUGUCUUUAUCAAAUAGAAACUAGGUAGUAAUUUCAACUAUUGUAACGUGUAAGUGGGACAGCUGAUUGCUUCAAGCUUCCGGUGAACGUCCGCGGUAACUCUGACCGUGUUAAAGUAGCGUAAUCCCUUGUCGGGUAAGUUCCGACCCGCAUGAAAGGCUUAACGACUUGAGAACUGUCUCCAGGAGUUGCUUGGUGAAAUUGCAGUGGAGGUGAAAAUGCCUCCUACCUGUGGCUAGACGAGAAGACCCCAGGAGCUUUACUAUACCCUGGUAUUGAAUUAUGGCUUUAAAUGCGUAGAAUAGGUGGGAGACUAUGAUGUCAUGCUUCCGGGCGUGACGGAGUCGCCAGUGAAAUACCACUCUUUUAUUGUCAUGGUUCUAACCUCCAUGCUUUAUUUAGAGCAUGGGGAGACAGUGCUUGGUUGGUAGUUUAAGUGGGGCGCUUUCCUCCUAAAAAGUAGCGGAGGAGUUUAAAGGUUGGCUAGAUCCGGAUGGAAAUCGGAUUGGUCCUACAA
rnacentral:rRNA from 1 species